GAUGAACGCUGGCGGCGUGCCUAAUACAUGCCAGUCGAGCGAACGGACGAGAAGCUUGCUUCUCUGAUGUUAGCGGCGGACGGGUGAGUAACACGUGGAUAACCUACCUAUAGGACUGGGAUAACUUCGGGAAACCGGAGCUAAUACCGGAUAAUAUUUUGAACCGCAUGGUUCAAAAGUGAAAGACGGUCUUGCUGUCACUUAUAGAUGGAUCCGCGCUGCAUUAGCUAGUUGGUAAGGUAACGGCUUACCAAGGCAACGAUGCAUAGCCGACCUGAGAGGGGGAUCGGCCACACUAGAACUGAGACACGGUCCAGACUCCUACGGGAGGCAGCAGUAGGGAAUCUUCCGAAAUGGGCGAAAGCCUGACGGAGCAACGCCGCGUGAGUGAUGAAGGUCUUCGGAUCGUAAAACUCUGUUAUUAGGGAAGAACAUAUGUGUAAGUAACUGUGCACAUCUUGACGGUACCUAAUCAGAAAGCCACGGCUAACUACGUG
rnacentral:rRNA from 1 species